CCUACGGGGGGCAGCAGUGGGGAAUAUUGGACAAUGGGGGGAACCCUGAUCCAGCCAUGCCGCGUGUGUGAAGAAGGCCCUCGGGUUGUAAAGCACUUUCAGUGAGGAAGAACGCCUGGUGGUUAAUACCCAUCAGGAAAGACAUCACUCACAGAAGAAGCACCGGCUAACUCCGUGCCAGCAGCCGCGGUAAUACGGAGGGUGCGAGCGUUAAUCGGAAUUAUUGGGCGUAAAGCGCGCGUAGGUGGCUUGAUAAGCCGGUUGUGAAAGCCCCGGGCUCAACCUGGGAACGGCAUCCGGAACUGUCAAGCUAGAGUGCAGGAGAGGAAGGUAGAAUUCCCGGUGUAGCGGUGAAAUGCGUAGAGAUCGGGAGGAAUACCAGUGGCGAAGGCGGCCUUCUGGACUGACACUGACACUGAGGUGCGAAAGCGUGGGUAGCAAACAGGAUUAGAUACCCUGGUAGUC
rnacentral:rRNA from 1 species